CACUUUGAUGAAAAACAGGAGACGGUGCACCGGAUUGAGUUGAAAAAGAUGCAGAAAAUGGUCGCCCAGUGUUGUCUUGAA
rfam:Helianthus annuus linkage group 5, whole genome shotgun sequence.